rnacentral:lncRNA from 1 species
AAGGAGAUCAUUUUCAUUCGAAGGAGAGAGAAAGGGCAGAUAAUUGGACUAGAGUUAAACUUCUCCUUUUGUCCAUAGGACAAAAAAAAAAUUUAAAUAAUAAACAAAAUUCCAAUGUUCUUUUAUUUUCUUAUUUUUGUAUUUUUAGUGGAAUACCAACUUCAUGUACACUUGGCUUAUUCAGCACCCAUAAAAUUCAAUGGACCACCAUCCGGACAAAAGGAUAAAAACAGAACACAUCAAGAUAAUGAAUUUUCUUCAAACUACUGAGGUACAAUGAAAAAUGGAAAUAUUAUCUCAGAAAUUACAACAGAGGGAUGAAGAUAUAGCAUAUGCUGUACCUAAAAGAUACAUCAAAUGGGAUAUUGGGAAUAUGGAUUGAUGAAAUUUAAUUUACGAUUGUCCUAUAAUGCCUUUUCAUUACAGUACCACACAAAUUGAGGCAAUAAAUGUAUAUUUGAUCAAAAAAGUAUGGCCACUCGUCUUUUAACCAAAUAGAUUGCAAAUGUCAUUAGAAUUCAGAUUCUACGAGGCAGGAAAGAAGUGUUUUGACUAGAGACAAGGGCAGAUGGAAUAAGAGAGCCAGGCAUUCAGCAGGAAUUUAAUUUGUAUUGGCUUAGACAAGGCUGUGCAAUCUAGUCUCCUUUCUAUAUUUAUUUAAAGUGAUACAUCUUCUUUCAGUAUAUCUGAUUUUCUAAUAACAGUAGGACUAACAAAUGUUAC